rnacentral:rRNA from 1 species
CGCGUAGGCGGCCUUGUAAGUCCUGUGUGAAAUCCCCCGGCUCAACUGGGGAACUGCACAGGAGACUGCUUGGCUUGAGUUCGGGAGAGGGAAGCGGAAUUCCGGGUGUAGCGGUGAAAUGCGUAGAUAUCCGGAGGAACACCGGUGGCGAAGGCGGCUUCCUGGACCGACACUGACGCUGAGGCGCGAAAGCCAGGGGAAGCAAACG